GGGCUGUUUAUCGUUGUGCCAGAUGCACAGCACAUUGUGUGACACUGACUUAAGAUUCUAACUCUGUGCAAGAGAAAAAAAAAAAACAGUGGAGAAGGCUGGGCUGGACCACGGGAAAGAGAUAGGAAAACGGAUACGAAUGUAAGGCACAGAGUUGGCUCGGCGUCCCUGGCAGUUAGGAAGACAGGUCCCUGGAGGGGCCUUGGCGGGUCUCCGCUCGCGGGAGUUCUGCGGUGUCUUUCCCAGUGCUAUCUGCAGGCUGGCCAGCUUCCUCUGCGCUCCGGAAAGCUGCGGCCCAGCGCGGACUAGUGAGGACCUCCACAGCUCCUGACAUUGCUAGGAGUCCUGUCGGCGUUUUCUCCCAGCCUCCGCCAUGCCGGCGGUGCUGGGUUUUGAAGGCAGCGCCAAUAAGAUUGGCGUGGGCGUGGUGCGGGAUGGCAAGGUGCUGGCGAACCCGCGGCGGACUUACGUCACGCCUCCUGGCACAGGAUUCCUUCCAGGUGAUACAGCCAGGCAUCACCGAGCUGUUAUCCUAGACCUGCUGCAGGAGGCACUAACAGAGUCUGGAUUAACCUCCCAGGAUAUCGACUGCAUUGCAUACACCAAGGGUAUGGCUGGGAGAGUGGUCAACGAUGGAGGAAUAUACCUGCAACCUGGCUAGGCCCUGGCAUGGGUGCCCCACUGGUUUCUGUGGCUGUUGUGGCCCGUACUGUGGCCCAACUGUGGAAUAAGCCAUUGGUGGGUGUGAACCACUGUAUAGGCCACAUUGAGAUGGGCCGCCUCAUCACUGGAGCCACCAGCCCAACCGUGUUGUAUGUGAGUGGAGGAAAUAC
rnacentral:sRNA from 1 species